rnacentral:rRNA from 1 species
AGUGAACGCUGGCGGUAGGCCUAACACAUGCAGGUCGAACGGCAGCACAGUAAGAGCUUGCUCUUACGGGUGGCGAGUGGCGGACGGGUGAGGAAUACAUCGGAAUCUACUUUUUCGUGGGGGAUAACGUAGGGAAACUUACGCUAAUACCGCAUACGACCUACGGGUGAAAGCAGGGGAUCUUCGGACCUUGCGCGAUUGAAUGAGCCGAUGUCGGAUUAGCUAGUUGGCGGGGUAAAGGCCCACCAAGGCGACGAUCCGUAGCUGGUCUGAGAGGAUGAUCAGCCACACUGGAACUGAGACACGGUCCAGACUCCUACGGGAGGCAGCAGUGGGGAAUAUUGGACAAUGGGCGCAAGCCUGAUCCAGCCAUACCGCGUGGGUGAAGAAGGCCUUCGGGUUGUAAAGCCCUUUUGUUGGGAAAGAAAAACAGCAGGUUAAUACCCCGCUGUUCUGACGGUACCCAAAGAAUAAGCACCGGCUAACUUCGUG